AGUCAGGCUGUUACAUGACGUAGUACACAGCCUGGGACACAGAGAGUUACACGGCCUGGCACAUGGUUGUGUGGCUUGGUUGUGUGACUCAGAGAGUUACACGGGCACAGACACGGGUUGGGACACAACCGUGUGUCCCUAUUUCGAAAGAUAGAUGACCUGAGACACGAGUGUGCGUCUUAGCUGUGUGAGUCACACGGUUGUGUGACCCCUACAGUUCAAUUUUUCCAACUUUUUCCUAAAUGUUCCAAAUGUUCCCAAUUUAGUCCCAA
rnacentral:lncRNA from 1 species